rnacentral:rRNA from 1 species
GUCAAAAAUGACUCCCGGCAACGGAUAUCUCGGCUCUUGCAUCGAUGAAGAACGUAGCGAAAUGCGAUACUUGGUGUGAAUUGCAGAAUCCCGUGAACCAUCGAGUCUUUGAACGCAAGUUGCGCCCGAGGCCACUAGGCUAAGGGCAUGCCUUCCUGGGUGUCACCUU